rnacentral:pre_miRNA from 1 species
UCUUAAAAAUGGGCAAAGAAAGUGGUUUCUUGAGAUGGAAUCUAUUCCUGGUGUGAAUACUGUGAA